AGAGGAGUAAACGAGCAAACCCGCUCUGCAAAAUGCAGGAGCGCUUGUACUGUGACUCUACGACUACGAUUAGUAGCUAUAGAUUUUCUUUUUGACGCUUAGCUAGAUACUUCUACUCCCUUUAUUGAAGCAGUCCUCUUGUUAUUAUACACUCAGAAACCCUAGCUAGACUUCUUGCUGUUGCAUCUCAAGGAACCCUCCACUUCAGUCAGCCAUCUCUUCUUUAUAUUAAUCUUGUUCUAUCCUUGUUGCUUGACAAUGAACCUAGAAGAGAAAGCAAGCACGGAGGUUCCAUCAUCUGAGCAUCUCUGCUAUGUCCGUUGCAACUUCUGCAACACUGUUCUUGCGGUCGGGAUUCCAUGCAAGAGGCUGCUGGACACUGUGACUGUCAAAUGUGGUCAUUGCAAUAAUCUAUCCUUUCUCAGCACCAGACCUCCCAACCAAGGGCAAUGUCUUGAUCCGUACCACCGACUGAGUCUACAGGGAGUUUCUAGUAAUGAAAAGUUCUUAUUCAAGGAGAAGCAAGGGUUUUGCACUGAUAUCAGAAAGGGCGAAUCCUCAUCCUCCUCGACCUCAAGCGAACAACCGGUGCGCACAGUACCCUUCGUAGUAAAGCCGCCUGAGAAGAAACACCGACUUCCAUCUGCUUACAAUAGGUUUAUGAAGGAGGAGAUAAAGCGCAUCAAAGCAGCCGAUCCUGAGAUACCACACAGAGAAGCUUUUAGCACAGCAGCUAAAAAUGUAAGAUUCUUUAUUUGCUCAAGGUUUACACACACACACACACACAUUUUAUUGAUUUGGAUCAGGCUUUGCUGGUUAUAGUGGGCUAGGGCUAGGUAUCUUCCGAAGUCGGGUGCUGGUUCUGGGAGCCCUAAUAUUUAAUGCAGGAAUGCAGCGAUAGAUGUGCGAAAGAAAUUUGAGGCGUCCAAGAGGGCAUCUAGAGAGAGCAGCUUGUUUUGGUUUAUUUAGCUUCACGUCUCCUACCUUCUACUAAUCUUGUCAUUUUAUUUUGUGUUGUUUGUUGGUAUAUUUUCAUGGAUGAACUUCUGCCUUAGGCUUUGAUCUA